rnacentral:rRNA from 1 species
GACGAACGCUGGCGGCGUGCUUAACACAUGCAAGUCACGGGGGUCUCGCAAGAGAGAACCGGCGAACGGGUGCGUAACACGUGAACAACCUGCCGUUGUGAGGGGGAUAGCCGGGCUAACGCCCGGGUAAUACCGCAUACGCUGCCCGAGGGGAGUCCCUUGGGGAGGAAAGCCAUGGCGCAAGCGAUGGCGCACGACGAGGGGUUCGCGGCCUAUCAGCUAGUUGGGGGC